rnacentral:rRNA from 1 species
GACGAACGCUGGCGGCGUGCCUAAUACAUGCAAGUUGAGCGCUGAAGGUUGGUACUUGUACCAACUGGAUGAGCAGCGAACGGGUGAGUAACGCGUGGGGAAUCUGCCUUUGAGCGGGGGACAACAUUUGGAAACGAAUGCUAAUACCGCAUAAAAACUUUAAACACAAGUUUUAAGUUUGAAAGAUGCAAUUGCAUCACUCAAAGAUGAUCCCGCGUUGUAUUAGCUAGUUGGUGAGGUAAAGGCUCACCAAGGCGAUGAUACAUAGCCGACCUGAGAGGGUGAUCGGCCACAUUGGGACUGAGAAACGGCCCAAACUCCUACGGGAGGCAGCAGUAGGGAAUCUUCGGCAAUGGACGAAAGUCUGACCGAGCAACGCCGCGUGAGUGAAGAAGGUUUUCGGAUCGUAAAACUCUGUUGGUAGAGAAGAACGUUGGUGAGAGUGGAAAGCUCAUCAAGUGACGGUAACUACCCAGAAAGGGACGGCUAACUACGUG